CGACAUAAAACGCCGAACCCUCUUGGCGUCGGGGGACGGGGGACAUUCUUUUUUGGGGCGAAUCCUAAAGAGCUGAAUAUUCUAUUUUUUCUAUGCUUUUUUGGUAGGGCGCUCACAAGCUGCGGCCCGAGCCCGUCAACUAACCUCGUAGGUGCACAGGGAGCUUAA
rnacentral:sRNA from 2 species